rnacentral:rRNA from 1 species
ACUCAAGCAUGCCUUAGUACGGCGAGUGAGCGGCAAAAGCUCAAUUCUGAAAACGCUUUCCGGCGUGUUCGUAAGUAAAGUAGGUUAGACGCUUUUUAAUAAGUCCCUUCGGAACAGGGCGCCAUAGAGGGUGAUAGCCCCGUAUUAAAUUCGUCUAGUGUGCUACUUUAGAGCGAGUCGAGUUGUUUGGGAAUGCAGCUCAAAUAGGUGGUAAACUCCAUCUAAAGCUAAAUAUUGCUGGGAGACCGAUAGCGAACAAGUACAGUGAUGGAAAGAUGAAAAGCACUUUGAAAAGAGAGUGAAAUAGCGUGUGAAAUUGUUGGAGGGGAAGGCGAUGGUAGGAAUAAGAGGCUGCGGUUUGAAAUAAUUGUUUUUCGGGCCACGGUCUCCUGAGCCUGCUUUCGCACCCGUCUUGAACCACGGGACC